UUAGUCUUUUAAUUGAAGACUGGAAUGAAAGAGUAAACCGGGAGAAUUUUUUUUAAAUGAAAUAAAUGAAUUUUACUUUUUAGUAAGAAGGCUAAAAUAAAACUUUUAGACAAGAAGACCCUAUAAAACUUUAUAUUUGGUUUUACUUAAUUGAAAAGCUAAAUAUUCUACUGGGGCGGUAAGAAAAUGGACUUUUCUUUUUUAAAAAGACAUCAAGUUUGAAUAUCUAGAAAUUCUGAAGAAGAAAUAAGUUACUUUAGGGAUAACAGCUUAAUUUAUUUUGAAAGAUCUAAUUGACAAAUAAGUUUAUGACCUCGAUGUUGAAUUAAAAUACCUCUUUUGUGCAAAA
rnacentral:rRNA from 1 species